GAUACCCGCUGAACUUAAGCAUAUCAAUAAGCGGAGGAAAAGAAACCAACCGGGAUUGCCUCAGUAACGGCGAGUGAAGCGGCAAGAGCUCAAAUUUGAAAGCUGGCCCCUCCGGGGUCCGCAUUGUAAUUUGCAGAGGAUGCUUCGGGUGCAGCCCCCGUCUAAGUGCCCUGGAAUGGGCCGUCAGAGAGGGUGAGAAUCCCGUCUGGGAUGGGGUGCCUGUGCCCGUGUGAAGCUCCUUCGACGAGUCGAGUUGUUUGGGAAUGCAGCUCUAAAUGGGUGGUAAAUUUCAUCUAAAGCUAAAUAUUGGCCGGAGACCGAUAGCGCACAAGUAGAGUGAUCGAAAGAUGAAAAGCACUUUGAAAAGAGAGUUAAACAGCACGUGAAAUUGUUGAAAGGGAAGCGCUUGCGACCAGACUCGCCUCCGGGGUUCAGCCGGCAUUCGUGCCGGUGUACUUCCCCGGGGGCGGGCCAGCGUCGGUUUGGGCGGCCGGUCAAAGGCCUCCGGAAUGUAGCGCCCUUCGGGGCGCCUUAUAGCCGGGGGUGCAAUGCGGCCAGCCUGGACCGAGGAACGCGCUUCGGCUCGGACGCUGGCAUAAUGGUCGUAAACGACC
rnacentral:rRNA from 1 species